UUUCAUUACCUCUGUAAUCAUGAUCAUCUUAUACUCUCUCUCUCUCUUCCUCUCCAAUUAUUUCUCUCCCGAGCUUCUGAAGCAACAUCUUUUGAAGGAUUCUUUAGAGCUUGACUUUACAAGAGGGCAUGCAAUGGCAAAGUUGUGUUUUUGUUAUGUGAGUGUUUGUGAUUUGUGAAGAUCGCUAGGCAGAUGAAUUACUGGCAUUUUAUUUGGUUAUUGCCUUUUUGGUUGAGGGAUUUAUUGGGUUCUUCUUUUGCCAAAUCCUGAUUGCAUAGAUUCUUCAGCACCCUACCUUUUACUUUGAAAUGGGAAUAAUAGAAAAGGUAUUGCAGAGCCCUAUAUUAACAGUUUUAAUUAAUCUCAGGCUUUUAUGGUGAUGAGAGUGCUUGGUGUGUGGUAAAGUCAAGUGGGUGUUGACGAUCUGGAACCUGGAAAGAAAGAAACAAGGAUAAUACAGAUUGUAUUUUAUCAUUCUAAGCUUGUUUUUCAAGUGGAAUUGGCUGCAGAAUGAAGUUGAGGGAGUUUUUAUCGCCAUUGUAAUGGAUACGAUUCAGAAUACAGUUUAUUACUGUUGCGUUCAAAGGAGUAA